GUAGCUCAGUGGUAGAGCGCUUGCCUCGCAAGCAUGAGGCCCUGGGUUCGAUUCCUCAGC
rnacentral:tRNA from 1 species